GUUUAUAUUGCUGGUAUUUUGAGAGAUUACUUUGUCAGUGAAAUCCAUUGAGAAAUAGGUAUCGGAGGAAAACAGAAAUCAUUUUUAUCCUGAUAAGGCUGUUAUAAGGAUAUGCCAUAUAUUCUGGCAACAAUAGGUUUGCAGAAUGAUAUAGAAUCAGUUACCCUCCCUGUCUCAGGCAGAGGUGGAAAAACAGAGGGGUUCCUGGUAGAGGCUUGUCUCUCUAAUACUACCCCAUGGAGUAGGUAGGACUAUGUGUGCCCUUCAGACAGGCUGCCUCCCCAAAGAGAGACAAAAAGAAGGAAUUGAACUACUCAUGCUCAGUUUUUUCUUUCAGAGGGCAGAGAAUGGUCAGGAGUGUUCUGUAAUGUCACUAUCUCACAUGGGAAUGUCAGGAGUGGGGAAUGAUUGUGGGAGAGGUGUGCUUGUCUGUUGAAGUCUUCCCUAAUGUUAUAGCUUCUGAUUUCAUUGAUUCACAUUGAAGCCUGGAAUAAACACAGUAUUUCCUUUCAGCUAGGUGUGGAAACAUGGCAAAGUUCUGGCCCAUUAAAAGUGAAGUGUGGCAACUUCUUUAAAAGAUAAGUGACAGAGUAUGGCUGUGUCGACCAGGCU
rnacentral:lncRNA from 1 species